rnacentral:rRNA from 1 species
AUGGCAUCCAUGAACUACUACUCUUUGGUGUUGGUGGUGGUUUCAUUGGUCUGGGCACCUCUGGCUGUCGUGGCCGGCGAUCCAGACAUCCUUGGUGACUUCAUCGUGCCGGCGCCGAUGGUUGGCAUGCCGCCGACGAACAUCACCGGUGACUUCUUCACCUACACUGACUUCGGUGCCGCAAACGAGACCAUGCCGUGGCCUCCACAGUAUUUCAUUGUGAUCAAGGCCAAUAUGGGGGCGUUCCCUGCGCUCAACGGGCAGAGUGUGUCCUAUGCCAUGCUCGUGUUCCCCUCCGGAUACGUCAACCCGCCGCACACCCAUCCGCGCGCUGCUGAGUUGCUGUUUGUCCACAGCGGUGCGCUCUCCGUCGGGUUUGUUGACACUGCCGGUAAGCUCUACACACAGGACCUCGUGGCCGGUGACAUAUUUGUGUUCCCCAAGGGCCUCGUGCACUACCAGUACAACCAGGGCCCCAACCCUGCCACCGCGUUCUCGGCCUUUGGCAGUGCCGCCCCGGGCACCGUGAAUGUGCCUGCCUCCGUGUUCGGCACCGGCGUUGACGACGUCUUGCUUGCCAAGUCCUUCAAGACUGACUUUUGGACGGUGCAGAAGCUCAAGGCAGCGCUCACUCCACCACCCAAG